CACGUCUUAGUGGCUGGUAAAACGGAACCAAGUCAGGAGUCUUAGUGAGGUUUGGUCCCCUUCAACCAGCUACUGCGCCGUGAUU
rnacentral:pre_miRNA from 1 species